rnacentral:ncRNA from 1 species
UAUGACGUAGGGCUACAGGUGUCAUUCCAGCGCGUGACGCUGGAAUCCAGGAAUUUUAUCAAGUAUAAAAGUUAUGUUAAAAUGCAUCAUUUUAUGGAAAUUUAGAUCCCAGUGUCACGCACUGGGAUGACAAGAAAGGGCUAUUUG